CCUACGGGAGGCAGCAGUAGGGAAUCUUCCACAAUGGGCGAAAGCCUGAUGGAGCAACGCAGCGUGGGUGAAGAAGGUCUUCGGAUCGUAAAACCCUGUUGUUAGAGAAGAAAGUGCGUGAGAGUAACUGUUCACGUAUCGACGGUAUCUAACCAGAAAGCCACGGCUAACUACGUGCCAGCAGCCGCGGUAAUACGUAGGUGGCAAGCGUUAUCCGGAUUUAUUGGGCGUAAAGGGAUCGUAGGCGGUCUUUUAAGUCUGAUGUGAAAGCCUUCGGCUUAACCGGAGUAGUGCAUUGGAUACUAGGAGACUUGAGUGCAGAAGAGGAGAGUGGAAUUCCAUGUGGAGCGGUGAAAUGCGUAGAUAUAUGGAAGAACACCAGUGGCGAAGGCGGCUCACUGGUCUUUAACUGACGCUGAGGGUCGAAAGCGUGGGUAGCAAACAGGAUUAGAUACCCGAGUAGUC
rnacentral:rRNA from 1 species